GCCUGCUCCAGCCGCUCCCAGCAGCCAUGGCGUGGCGCCCCCUUGCUCCUUCCUCACACAGCGGCAGCCAGCGCCUGUUCAUCUUCCUCCCUGUUUGCCCCUAGCCGAACUCCCCUACAGAAGCUCCCCACGGCAGCAGGCAUGGAGGUCGGCUCGAGCACAACCUCCUUGCUCCCUUCCAUGUCCGUCCGUGGCACCUCCCCCUGCUUUUCUGGUUGGGCGCACAGGAAUCCGGCAAUCCUGCACGUCCCCUCCAAUGGCGCCCUCCCCUGCUCCUCCUCUCUUCCCCACAAAACAGCAGCAGCUCGCCCACCUUCCCUCGCUGCGCAGCCCCUCGGCGAAACGCCGCUGUUCCUGCAGCCCCGACACCUUCCCUGGCUUCCUCGCUGCUAGCGCUGCGCGCGUGCCGCGUGUUCGGCAAGCUAUCCA
rnacentral:misc_RNA from 1 species